CAAAAAUUAUAUAUGAAAAUAAACCCUUUAACAGACCUGCUUUUCAUCACAUUCAAAAGGUCCUGUGCAGAGUCAGUUUCUGAAGAACUCUCUCAAGGCCUGAACUGGAGAGAAACCAAAACAGAACCCAAAGGAGGAUGUCAUCUCCAUGAGGUGAGAGAAUUUUGUUUUGCUGUAAGACUGUGGCACGUCAGUGAAGCCCAACUACAAAGGCAUAAAUACUACCUGGAUGAGAUGAGAUAUACAAAAUUUAAAUGGAAAACGAGAUGAGAUGAAAACUCUACUUGAAAUCUCCCCCACGUCAGCAUUCUUCCUUCAUGUCAGUAGUGAGAAACCUCUGAAACCCCUACUCUCACCGAUGAAACAGCAGUAGAAGAGAAGAUGCGUCUCAGUCCUUCUAAAUCAGAGAUGUUCUCCCAUUUGGGUGAAUAUGUGCAGCCUAACAGGUCCAUUAAAAUCCACUCUGCCCUAUGUUCUGAUCUGUUCCGAAACUGGAGCAAAGCAAAUCAUCAUCCCGUCCUGCUCGCCCUCCUAAAACAGGCGUGGCUUCAGGCCGGGGGCGUCUCUGCGCGCUCUGCCCCUUCUCCUGCAUCUUCUCCCCCUCGCCCCCUGCGGCAUCCCUGCACCACAUGGACCAGCACAGGGACAGGCACAGAGUUGGGGCUUAGUGAAUAUUUGUUAGAUAAGUGAAUCAUUUUCACCAUUCGAUAGUCUCCUGCAGAUAUUUAAAGUUACAUGUAUUUUAACUACAAGUAAUCACCUGAUCAUGCUGAAUAAUUUAUUCUUUCAACAAAUAAAUAUCUGUUGUGUUCUCAGCAUGAGAAUAAGCAUUAAAAUAGAUUAAGUGUUCAUUCUUCCAUCAUUCAACAAUCAUUUUCUACAAGCUAAGGGUCAAUUAAAAUUAUUAUAUUAAAAAUCAAUAUACAGAAAUCUGUUACAUUUCCAAUGAAAAAUGGGCUAACAGACAAAAUAAGAAAUCAAUCCCAUUUCCAUUACAUCAAAAAGAAUAAACUAGCUGGGAAUAAAUUUGACCAAGGAAGUAAAAGAACUAUACUCUCAAAACUAUAAGACAUUGAUGAAAGAAAUGGAAAAGUGCAAAUAAAUGAGAAGCUAUUCCAUGCUCAUGAUCAGGAGGAAUUAAUAUUGUUAAAAUGCCUGUAUUACCCAAAGCAAUAUUACCCGAAUCCAGUGCAAUACCCAUCAAAAUACCGAUGGCAUUUUUCAGUGAACUAAAGCAAAUCCUAAAAUUUAUAUGGAAUUACAGAAAAAAAAAAUUCCUGAACAGCCCAAGCAAUUUUGAUUAAGAACAAAGCUGUGGUAUCACCUUCCCUGAUUUCAAACUAUACUACAAAGCUAGUGAUCCAAACAGUGUGGUACUGGUACAAGAACAGAUACACAGACCAAUGGAACAGAACGUCCCAGAAAUAUAUCCACACUAUAUGGUUAAUAUAUGACAAAGGAAGCAAGAAUAUACUAUGGGAAAGAGAAACACUCUUCAAUAGCUGGUGCUGGAAAAUCUGGACAGCUACAUGCAAGAGAAUGAA